rnacentral:lncRNA from 1 species
UGCUAAAAUGUUAAUCUAAUAUUUUUUGGGUCAAAUGUUAAUCUAAUUUAAAAAAUGGUUUAGACUCUUAAGAGGGUAUGUUAUGACUUAUGAUCCACCGUGUCUAAGCUGUAUGCGUUGAGGGAGUAAUGGUUAGCACGUAGGCAUAAGCAAUAUAAACUUUAACACGUACGUAUCGUAAAGAGAGAAGCCACUUAAUAUCAAUAUUAAUAAAUUGUUUAAAAGCCUUUUCCGAAGCAAAAUAGUGAUUAUU